UCCCUUAGCUCGGCAGAGGCCUCGAAAGGCUAUUAGAGUCCGCUAGGAGUUUGGAUGUACUUGGGCUACCGAGACAUGGUGAAACUUUAGGACGGCCUUGUAGAAGUCGUCCAAGGGGAAGCGGAGCCCAGCCUUCAGUUGCUCUUCGUACACCAUGAUGAGAUCGCUCUCAUUGAAGAAGUGAUCGCCGUGGCAUUUGAUUAGUUCAAAUGAAUUGAUCCGCAGAUUGUACUCCUGGCUUAUAGUUUGAAGAUUGGUUUUCCUCAAAACCGAAGGCAACUCAUCAAUGGGCAAGUUGUCUCUCCUUAAAGAUCCCCCUCGCCUCGGUCUGACAGCCGAACCGGUUACCGGAAUGAGGGCCGUGCUAGUUUGACCACCCGAUCUGAUUACGUCACUCUCUUCCGAGGUCCACGAAACGUGGACAGAAGGCGGGCUCGCAGCUCCCUGACCCUCGGCGCCGCUCAUUUUUAAAGAAAUAAAAUAAGUUUAACUAAGAGAAUGAUUAAAACCCUUGCCAGAAUGUGGUCGGUGCUGAAAAAACUUGAAGAAACGAGAGAAAAUUGAAGUUGCUAGCAGAGUGCUGAAAGUGACAUAGAGGAGCAACUGAUGGAACCUCCCCCUAUUUAUACCCGUUUGAGCA
rnacentral:misc_RNA from 1 species